CCUACGGGAGGCAGCAGUGGGGGAUAUUGCACAAUGGGGGGAACCCUGAUGCAGCGACGCCGCGUGGGCGAUGGAGUGCUUCGGCGUGUAAAGCCCUAUCAGCAGGGAAGAAAAUGACGGUACCUGACUAAGAAGCCCCGGCUAAAUACGUGCCAGCAGCCGCGGUAAUACGUAUGGGGCAAGCGUUAUCCGGAUUUACUGGGUGUAAAGGGGGCGGAGGCGGCCUGGCAAGCCUGAUGUGAAAUACCGGGGCCCAACCCCGGGGCUGCAUUGGGAACUGCCAGGCUGGAGUGCAGGAGAGGCAGGCGGAAUUCCUAGUGUAGCGGUGAAAUGCGUAGAUAUUAGGAGGAACACCAGUGGCGAAGGCGGCCUGCUGGACGGUGACUGACGCUGAGGCUCGAAAGCGUGGGGAGCAAACAGGAUUAGAUACCCCAGUAGUC
rnacentral:rRNA from 1 species